rnacentral:rRNA from 1 species
CCCUACGGGGUGCAGCAGGCGCGAAACCUUUACAAUGUGCGAAAGCAUGAUAAGGGAACUCCGAGUGCCAGUAUCUAAUACUGGCUGUCCUUGUGCCUAAAACGCACAAGAUAGCAAGGGCCGGGUAAGACCGGUGCCAGCCGCCGCGGUAACACCGGCGGCCCGAGUGGUAGCCGCUAUUAUUGGGUCUAAAGGGUCCGUAGCCGGUUCGAUAAGUCCUCUGGGAAAUCUGGUUGCUUAACAAUCAGACUGCCAAGGGAUACUGUCGAACUUGAGACCGGGAGAGGUAAGAGGUACUUCAGGGGUAGGAGUGAAAUCUUGUAAUCCCUGGGGGACCAUCUGUGGCGAAGGCGUCUUACCAGAACGGGUCUGACGGUGAGGGACGAAAGCUGGGGGCGCAAACCGGAUUAGAUGCCCGGGUAGUCCCAGCCGUAAACGAUGCUCGCUAUGUGUCAGGUACGGUGUGACCGUAUCUGGUGCCGUAGGGAAGCCGUGAAGCGAGCCACCUGGGUAGUACGGCCGCAAGGCUGAAACUUAAAGGAAUUGGCGGGGGAGCAC